rnacentral:tRNA from 1 species
GGGCACGUGGCGGAAUGGCAGACGCGCUGGCUUCAGGAGCCAGUGAGAGCAAUCUCGUGGAGGUUCGACUCCUCUCGUGCCCA